rnacentral:lncRNA from 1 species
AUCAGUAUAAGCAGAAUUUGCUGAACCGUACCUGGUCGCUCUUGUUCGAAGACCCACCGCCUGAAUGACACAAGAAAAAAAUAUCAGAAUGCUCGAGAAGGUACUCUGUUAUAGCAUUUGGUUGAAUUGUUUUCUGAUUUCUGUUACGGCAUCACCUUGGAAUUUCUUGGAGAAUGUCCCUGUCUCCUUGAAGAGCUGCUCAAAGUGGGUCUUGCAGUACAGGACACCAUCCAUGGAAGAGUAGCUGCUGAUCUAUAGGGGAUGCAAGCGUACAUUUUUUAAAAGAACACAUAAAAAGAACUGAUUCUUUCUAAUAAUGCAAAUGUACUAGGACAGAGUUUCGGCCAUGUAUGCAAACGUACCGAGAGGGUGCCCUUGCAGUGGCUGCACUUGAAGCAUGUCUUGUGGUAGGAGACGCCGUCGGCGGUGAGGAGGUCGAUGAAGUGCACCGU